UACGUAGGGGGCAAGCGUUGUCCGGAAUCAUUGGGCGUAAAGAGCGCGUAGGCGGUCCGGUAAGUCCGCUGUGAAAGUCGGGGGCUCAACCCUCGGAUGCCGGUGGAUACUGUCGGGCUUGAGUACGGAAGAGGCGAGUGGAAUUCCUGGUGUAGCGGUGAAAUGCGCAGAUAUCAGGAGGAACACCAAUUGCGAAGGCAGCUCGCUGGGAAGUUACUGACGCUGAGACGCGAAAGCGUGGGGAGCAAACAGG
rnacentral:rRNA from 1 species